ACGUUUCACUCAACUUGUAAAGCGUAAAAUAAUUAAUGAUGACACUCUGUACCCGCUUAAUAUCUCUUUAUUCACUUCUGGCUGGUGGGCGGCGCUUCAAGGCAAGCUUAUAAAUUAAACAAAUAAACAACCAACCAGCAGCGAGAACGAAAGAGAAAAAUAAGAAACCUAAAACCAAAAAUAAAAUCUCCUAUAAGGGGAGAGAGGGGAAAAGGGUUUAAGCCAUGAACCUGUCGCUACGAUCGGAUCGGACCAACUUAAUCACUUUGCUGCCACGAAAAUAGUCGUAAUGCGAUGCUAAUGCAAAUGUCUGCUGCAUAAAUUAAUAAUUAUAAUAACAAUAAAACGAACCAUACCAAAUGGUUAAAGAGUCCGGUGGUCAUCGUCUCCGUCUACACCGUUUUCUAUAAUUCCACUUAAUGGCUAUUCGAAAUGGCCAGACACAGGUACCAAACAGCUUCUCCCACAAAUUCCCUGCAAACAAUGGUCAGCUAUUCAUUGAAUAACUUGAAGAAAAGAAACAAUUCCAUCUAUACAGCUGCGUUGACUCGUCAAUGAACCCACCAAAAAAGAUAUAACCGAAGAAUCCCGAGAAACCAAUCCCAAAAAACGCUUGCAAAAGUGUUGAGACCAUAUAUUUCGGACCACUUCCUCAGCUGAACUACUGGAAAGAUAUAAUAGGGGGUUGGGCUGGGUUCCCCCUUACAUUAUUUAUGACAAUAACUUUGCGACCGCACAUAAUUGAAUUACAUAUUGUUUGUUGUGACCACAAAAAAAAAAAAGUCAGGGAGUCGAGGGGAGUGGCCCCAAUAUGUUUGCGUGUUAAUUGUGUGGGCGUGAUGUAGAUGAAUUACCAGUGAUUUGUGGGUGAAUAAUUGCCGGGGGGACAGAAAAUCGAAGCAAUUGGCAAGACAACAUUUGGCCCAAAAAAUCCAAAGCAACGAUCGCAAUUAAUCAGCACAGAGAAGGGGGAAUAUAUAUAUAUAUAUAUAAACCAGCAAAAAGCAUAUUCAGCUUAAGUAGAAAAAGAGAGAUCCAUCCCCAGCUAUUGACUCAAGUGUCGUUUUAGACCACUGAAGUAGUAGUUGAAGAUCAACGUUGAACGUUGAACGUUGAAUGGUCCAGUACGGUCCGGUUCAACCACUUCAAGCUGCGUCUCUUGCUUUCCAUAAUUUAUAUCAAAUUAUACCCUUUAUUUUUCUGGGAAGCCAUCAUAGACUUUAGACUUCUAAUGUUAACUCAAGCAUGGAAAGAAAAAUCAUUUUAUAAGCCAUUAAUAUUAUUUAAAUGGAACUCAUCACACAAUAUAAUGUUUCCUAUCCAAAUCAAUCUUUAAAAUGCAUUAUUAAAUACAUUUGCAUUUAAAUUGCAAUUAAUAUUAAUGAAGCUUUAUGCCUCUUUUGACUUUUGCCAGAAAUCAAGUAGGAAAAGGGCUAUAAUACCUUUUUACAUGUAUUUUUAUAAAGAAAUUUAGUUAUCAACAUGCGAAUUAGGUUGAAAAGUUCAAUAUUAUAUUGCAAACAUUGUUAACUUCAAUA